rnacentral:rRNA from 1 species
GCUUGUCUCAAAGAUUAAGCCAUGCAUGUCUAAGUACAAGCCUCAGUAAGGUGAAACCGCGAAUGGCUCAUUAAAUCACACCUAAUCUACUGGAAAGUUACUAGUUACUUGGAUAACUGAGGUAAUUCUUGAGCUAAUACAUGCGAAAAAUCUCGACUCACGGAGAGAUGCUUUUAUUAGAUCAAAACCAAUGCGGGGUAACCCGGAAUAUGGUGAUUCAUAAUAACUUUCGGAUCGAUUUAUCGAUGCAUCAUUCAAGUUUCUGCCCUAUCAGCUUUGGAUGGUAGGGUAUUGGCCUACCAUGGCUUUAACGGGUAACGGAGAAUUAGGGUUCGAUUCCGGAGAGGGAGCCUGAGAAAUGGCUACCACAUCCAAGGAAGGCAGCAGG